GGUAAUUAUAAUUGCAUCGACCGCUUCACAAUCCCAAUUUGAGGUGUGAAAUUGGGCGACAUCAAUUUUGGUGCCAUUGCCAGGCAGCUAAAAAUGGAUUUAGUUAUAUAUUUGAUUUGUGUGUGAUUUGUCUUCUUUUCCUUCGGGGUUACUAAUCUUUUUGGUGAAACAAUUAUAGUUGAUACAAUGACUCUCAACAACAAUGAUCCACUUGAAAACGUGCUAUUGGGGGAUGACAGGGAUGAUGGCCAAGUUGAUGAGGUUCCCUUGAACAUCAAGCAAAUAGAUGAGGCCGGCCGCCUCAAGACAACGUUCCUGUUUCACCCCCACCUCCUCCAUGUACGGUGGCACACCAGGUGUUGCCAAAUGAAGGAUAUUCAAGUGCCAUAGUCCCGCCCCGCAUUAGGGUGGGAAAUUUUUAAGUCACAAAUGUUAUGCUUACGUUGUUGGAACAACGAGGAUUCUUCACUGGGGCUCCGAAUCAAAAUGCGUAUAAGCACUUGAAAGGGUUUUUUGACACUUACUGGGGGAGUAAACAGAAAAACGUCUCCAAGGAUACUUUAAGAUUGAGGCUAUUCCCUUUCUCUCUACGGGGGAAGGCUUUGGAUUGGUUAAAGAGGUUGUCAAAUCAUUCUAUCCAUACAUGAGAUAAAUUGCGAGAAAUUUAUUUCCAAGUUCUUUUCUCCUGGGCAUAUGCCAACGCUUAGGGAUGAGAUUCUAGCUUUCAAACAAGAACCCAAUGAGCCUUUGCAUGAGAUUUGGGAGAUGUACCGUACUAUAGUGAAAGAGUGCUCGAACAAUAACAUGACAGAAGCUAUGAUUCAACAAACUUUCUACAGGGGGAUCAAUACUACCGAUCAAUGCGUGGUCAACCAACUUGUCGGUGGUAAUUUCAUGACAAUGCCGUAUGCGGAAGCUUGUGAGAUUCUUCAUGAAAUGGCAGAUACUUCAUCGGCAUGGCAAAGUAGAGCAAACGUUCCUCAAGGCGAUCCAAAUGUGAUUCACCUGCAUUAAGAAUUACAUGAUCAUGGACAAGCAAUUACCGAGUUGACCACCACAAUGAAUCAAGUAGCCAAAGCUCAACUUCAACAAGUGCAAGGUCCCAAGCAAGUAAACACAAUGGAAGGAGUUAGUAUAUGGUAAACAAGAGAAGGAAAAAGGAUCCUCAAGUGCAAAACUGAGUUAAAAAUUAUGUGCAAGAUGAUAGUGGAUUUGAUCAAAAUGGAUAAUACAACGAACAAGAGGAGGAAGUACAAUAUGUGGACAACUUCUAAUAGCAAAGAAACAACAAUCAAGUCCCAAAUCAACAACAAUGGUAACCACAAGGAAAUCAAGGGAAUUGGAAUUCAAGCAAUCAAGAUAAUUAGAACAAUCAAAAUAACCAAGGGAAUUGGAACAAUCACAACAAUCAAGGAAAUUAGAAUGGUCAAAAUAACCAAGGCAAUUGGAGUGGCAAUAAUCCAAGCUAUUGGGAAGGUAACAAUCAAGGAGGAUGGAAUAAUUUUUGCAAAUAUCAUUGUAUUAAAAUCUUCCAUAUGCUACAUUUUCAAGCAUCAUUAUAGUACGACCUGAAAUAACAAUAUAAAUGUGUCAAAAGAUGAAAUAUGAUAUAAAGAGAAUGCUCAUUUAAAAAAAUUCACAAUUGUUAAACCUUUUAUUCAUCAUAUCCAAAUCAAUUAAGAGAAUGAUCAAUUGAUAAAGUUUACUAAUCCGCACUUUGUACACUCAGGCCAAAAAAUAAGCUGGUUCCUCAAGUUAGUCUAUAAAUUGCUCUAGAAACUUCAUCUUUUCAAUUUUGUUUUUCAAUGACACACAUAUAGCACCAUGGAUGUCCUCGACAACUCAAUUUGUAGUACACUACAAUUAUAGAUCAUCAAUGCUCAAGUUUAAUCAUGUAAUCAAUGAUUACUAGAAGCAUUUAGGAAAAGCUAGCACAACAAUAGCAAACAAGCACAUCUUUAAAGAAACAAAAACACUUAAUUUAGCUAACACAAAUUUAAAUGCAAAACAAAUACCAAUGUAAGAUCACAUUUGACACUUUAUGUUGUAACAAAUCUAAUUAUACUAGGUAAUAAUCAAGAUAUCUGGCAUUGCAUGCCUUCAAUUAAUUUCAGAGAGUUUGAGCCAUAUCCAACAUAAUAAGAAUUAUAAAUUAGCUGGUUAUCGUAUGUUGAGCAUGAUGGUGGUAACUAGUAACAUUUGUACCUCAACUUGGUGAUUUGAAUAGAUUCAAUCUACCCUAAAAAUAUUUUUCCAAUAGAAAAUCCUUUACCUACAGGGAGAAUAAUCUGAUUACCAAACUGAUAACAUCCUUUUAUCACAUAAUACAUAUAUAAAAGCUAUUCAAAACAUUUUCAUAGGAUGGAACAUAUAACACAAGAAUCAUGAGUCAAAUAGAUAGUCAAUCUCAAUUAUAAAUUCCUAUAGAGUUAAGAAGCAUCUAAUAAAUAGUACCUAUUUGAGAAGCUCUUGGCUUUUUUAAUCCACUAAUUGCUUGGCUUCUUAUCUGAUCUGCAAUUCUUUAGGGACAAAAAGAAUAAUCAAAUAUGUCUUACAUCAUUUGAAGAAAUGCAUUUAAGAAACGUGGUGGGAGGGGGGGGGGGGGAUAUUCAACUUCCUAGGGAAGGUUGCUUUAAUGGUAGAGUCCCUCGAACUACAAGGUUGGUGAUUUGCGUCAUAAGUAACAGUGAAACACCUAUGUUGUUCUUGGUAGGAGCU
rnacentral:lncRNA from 1 species